CAAAUACUCCCUCCGUCCGGAAAUACUUGUCAUCAAAAUGAAUAAAAGGGGAUGUAUCUAGAUGUAUUUUAGUUCUAGAUACAUCCCUUUUUGUCCAUUUUGAUGACAAGUAUUUUCGGACGGAGGGAGUAUAUC
rnacentral:pre_miRNA from 1 species